rnacentral:rRNA from 1 species
UACGUAGGGGGCGAGCGUUGUCCGGAAUCAUUGGGCGUAAAGCGCGUGUAGGCGGUUCGAUAAGUCUGCUGUGAAAGUCCAGGGCUCAACCCUGGGAUGCCGGUGGAUACUGUCGGGCUAGGAGUACGGAAGAGGCGAGUGGAAUCCCGGUGUAGCGGUGAAAUGCGCAGAUAUCGGGAGGAACACCGGUGGCGAAGGCGGUUCUCUGGGCCUUACCUGCGCUGAGGAG